UAAGGGCGCACGGUGGAUGCCUUGGCACUAGAAGCCGAUGAAGGACGUUACUAACGACGAUAUGCUUUGGGGAGCUGUAAGUAAGCUUUGAUCCAGAGAUUUCCGAAUGGGGAAACCCAGCAUGAGUUAUGUCAUGUUAUCGAUAUGUGAAUACAUAGCAUAUCAGAAGGCACACCCGGAGAACUGAAACAUCUUAGUACCCGGAGGAAGAGAAAGAAAAUUCGAUUCCCUUAGUAGCGGCGAGCGAAACGGGAAGAGCCCAAACCAACAAGCUUGCUUGUUGGGGUUGUAGGACACUCUAUACGGAGUUACAAAGGACGACAUUAGACGAAUCAUCUGGAAAGAUGAAUCAAAGAAGGUAAUAAUCCUGUAGUCGAAAAUGUUGUCUCUCUUGAGUGGAUCCUGAGUACGACGGAGCACGUGAAAUUCCGUCGGAAUCUGGGAGGACCAUCUCCUAAGGCUAAAUACUCUCUAGUGACCGAUAGUGAACCAGUACCGUGAGGGAAAGGUGAAAAGCACCCCGGAAGGGGAGUGAAAUAGAACCUGAAACCGUGUGCUUACAAGUAGUCAGAGCCCGUUAAUGGGUGAUGGCGUGCCUUUUGUAGAAUGAACCGGCGAGUUACGAUUUGAUGCAAGGUUAAGCAGUAAAUGUGGAGCCGUAGCGAAAGCGAGUCUGAAUAGGGCGUUUAGUAUUUGGUCGUAGACCCGAAACCAGGUGAUCUACCCUUGGUCAGGUUGAAGUUCAGGUAACACUGAAUGGAGGACCGAACCGACUUACGUUGAAAAGUGAGCGGAUGAACUGAGGGUAGCGGAGAAAUUCCAAUCGAACCUGGAGAUAGCUGGUUCUCUCCGAAAUAGCUUUAGGGCUAGCCUCAAGUGAUGAUUAUUGGAGGUAGAGCACUGUUUGGACGAGGGGCCCCUCUCGGGUUACCGAAUUCAGACAAACUCCGAAUGCCAAUUAAUUUAACUUGGGAGUCAGAACAUGGGUGAUAAGGUCCGUGUUCGAAAGGGAAACAGCCCAGACCACCAGCUAAGGUCCCAAAAUAUAUGUUAAGUGGAAAAGGAUGUGGCGUUGCCCAGACAACUAGGAUGUUGGCUUAGAAGCAGCCAUCAUUUAAAGAGUGCGUAAUAGCUCACUAGUCGAGUGACACUGCGCCGAAAAUGUACCGGGGCUAAACAUAUUACCGAAGCUGUGGAUUGUCCUUUGGACAAUGGUAGGAGAGCGUUCUAAGGGCGUUGAAGCAUGAUCGUAAGGACAUGUGGAGCGCUUAGAAGUGAGAAUGCCGGUGUGAGUAGCGAAAGACGGGUGAGAAUCCCGUCCACCGAUUGACUAAGGUUUCCAGAGGAAGGCUCGUCCGCUCUGGGUUAGUCGGGUCCUAAGCUGAGGCCGACAGGCGUAGGCGAUGGAUAACAGGUUGAUAUUCCUGUACCACCUAUAAUCGUUUUAAUCGAUGGGGGGACGCAGUAGGAUAGGCGAAGCGUGCGAUUGGAUUGCACGUCUAAGCAGUAAGGCUGAGUAUUAGGCAAAUCCGGUACUCAUUAAGGCUGAGCUGUGAUGGGGAGAAGACAUUGUGUCUUCGAGUCGUUGAUUUCACACUGCCGAGAAAAGCCUCUAGAUAGAAAAUAGGUGCCCGUACCGCAAACCGACACAGGUAGUCAAGAUGAGAAUUCUAAGGUGAGCGAGCGAACUCUCGUUAAGGAACUCGGCAAAAUGACCCCGUAACUUCGGGAGAAGGGGUGCUCUUUAGGGUUAACGCCCAGAAGAGCCGCAGUGAAUAGGCCCAAGCGACUGUUUAUCAAAAACACAGGUCUCUGCUAAACCGUAAGGUGAUGUAUAGGGGCUGACGCCUGCCCGGUGCUGGAAGGUUAAGAGGAGUGGUUAGCUUCUGCGAAGCUACGAAUCGAAGCCCCAGUAAACGGCGGCCGUAACUAUAACGGUCCUAAGGUAGCGAAAUUCCUUGUCGGGUAAGUUCCGACCCGCACGAAAGGCGUAACGAUUUGGGCACUGUCUCAACGAGAGACUCGGUGAAAUCAUAGUACCUGUGAAGAUGCAGGUUACCCGCGACAGGACGGAAAGACCCCGUGGAGCUUUACUGUAGCCUGAUAUUGAAAUUCGGCACAGCUUGUACAGGAUAGGUAGGAGCCUUUGAAACGUGAGCGCUAGCUUACGUGGAGGCGCUGGUGGGAUACUACCCUAGCUGUGUUGGCUUUCUAACCCGCACCACUUAUCGUGGUGGGAGACAGUGUCAGGCGGGCAGUUUGACUGGGGCGGUCGCCUCCUAAAAGGUAACGGAGGCGCUCAAAGGUUCCCUCAGAAUGGUUGGAAAUCAUUCAUAGAGUGUAAAGGCAUAAGGGAGCUUGACUGCGAGACCUACAAGUCGAGCAGGGUCGAAAGACGGACUUAGUGAUCCGGUGGUUCCGCAUGGAAGGGCCAUCGCUCAACGGAUAAAAGCUACCCCGGGGAUAACAGGCUUAUCUCCCCCAAGAGUUCACAUCGACGGGGAGGUUUGGCACCUCGAUGUCGGCUCAUCGCAUCCUGGGGCUGUAGUCGGUCCCAAGGGUUGGGCUGUUCGCC
rnacentral:rRNA from 1 species